rnacentral:rRNA from 1 species
UACGUAGGGUGCGAGCGUUAAUCGGAAUUACUGGGCGUAAAGCGUGCGCAGGCGGCUUUGCAAGACAGAUGUGAAAUCCCCGGGCUUAACCUGGGAACUGCAUUUGUGACUGCAUGGCUGGAGUGCGGCAGAGGGGGAUGGAAUUCCGCGUGUAGCAGUGAAAUGCGUAGAGAUGUGGAGGAACACCGAUGGCGAAGGCAGCCCCCUGGGUCAACACUGACGCUCAUGCACGAAAGCGUGGGGAGCAAACAGG